CCCUAAACUUUUAACCACUGGCCAAAACACCCCUUAAACUAUUAUGUCAGUCAAUUUACUCCUUAAACUAUAAAUACUUGUCAAAUCAGUACUUCAGUUAGUCUAACGUUAAAACACUAACAGAAAAAGCAUGUGAGAUGCACGUGUUCCCCACUUUUCCACAAAACAAAUUCAAUAACACGAUAGAGAGCAGAGACCUCUAACCGACAGAAAAGAGAGAGAGAGGUGGUAGAAUCAGAGCCACCGCAGAGCUUCCCUCCACCGUCUUGUUGCUCUUGUCCCGGCAGUGCCUUGGUGGUUCAGCCGCACCGUUCAAGAACCCAGCACCUGGUCUAGGUUCACCCGAAGUUUAUUUUUGAAAGUGCUAAUGGAUUGUUGGAGGAAUAUCAGCGUUUAAUGGCAGCGCAAAGAGUAUAGAGAGGACUGGUGCUUUAGUGUGGGUGGUUUUAGUGUGAAUGUUUAGUUGAUGUUCCCCCCAGUGCUAGUUCUUAUCUAGCUUUACUUGUAUCUUUCGUUUACCGUCUAAUAAAAGUUUUCUAUCAUUCUUA